GACAAGGGCGAGCGGAGGCUGCAGCGGGGGAGGGUGGAAAGCUGGGGGGAAGGUCUGGGGGUGUGAAGCAGAGGGGUGGCGGAAUAGGGUUGGGGUCCUCCAGGACCCCCCGACCCCCCAUCCCCUUGGGAGCGGGUUGGUUUCACGCAUCCCUCCUCCCCGACACGCGGAGCGAAACACACCUUGCAGGGAUGAAGAGGAUGAGCAAGAAUGAAAAGGGGAAGGCGAGGCACACGGUGCACGUGCAGGUGGGGGAAGACAUAGUGGUGAUAGAAGACGAUGAGGAGGAUGAGGAGGACAAGGAGCUGGGGCACGGAGAAGGCUCAGAAAGCUGUGAAGGACACGAAACCAGGCAGGGGUUGCAAGAAGGUGAGCAGGAAAGCACGGGUGGCAAAAGAAAGCCGCAGGUGAAAGCCAAACGCAAGAAGGGAGCGUAUAAAUGCAAUGAGUGCGGGACGACAUUCAACUGGAGGCAUAACUUGGUCCGUCACCAGCGCCUGCACACAGGCGAGCGGCCCUACAAGUGCUCUGAGUGUGGGAAGGGCUUCAACGACAGCUCCCCUCUGCUCAUCCACGAGAUGCUCCACCGCGGAGAGAAGCCCUACAAGUGCCUGAGCUGCGGGAAGAAAUUCAUCCAGAGUUCCCACCUCAUCGCCCACCAGUCUGUGCACACCGAAGAGAAGCCCUACGUGUGCCCCGACUGCGGGAAGCGCUUCGCCCGCCACCAGUACCUCAUCAUGCACCGCCGCGUCCACACGGGCGAGAGGCCCUAUGAGUGCCGGGACUGCGGGAAGAGCUUCCGCAAGAGCUCCGACCUCGUCCGCCACAAGACGGUGCACACGGGUGAGAAACCCUACAAGUGCCCCGUGUGCGGGAAGGGUUUCACCCAGAACUUCCGCUGUAAUGCUCAUAAAAAGGUCCAUCUUGUGGAGAAGGUUGACCAGCAGGAUUCUCCAUCGCAGGACACCCAGCAGAACAGCUCUGAGAACACUGCCUCACCAGCAGGUGCUGGUGGCCACAAAGAGGAGAAGCCCCAGCCAGUUGACUCCCAGCAGACAGAAGCAAAUGGCCCCAGCAUGAGGAUGGAGGAAGGGGCUGCGUGCCAGGAUCCUGAGCAGGAUGAGGCUCUAAAAGAGCAGUCAGAAGUGGAGCCAUGCCCUGUGCAAGGGCAGGAGGAUCUGGAUGAUCCUGAAGGCACUUUGGAGGAUCCCAAAGAAUCGGGUGUGCAUCCAGGUAUCUGUGUUGAAGGGCAGACGCACGAGUGUGCCAACUGCAGGAAAACCUUUCACUGUAGCAACAGCCUGAGCCAACACCAGCAGCUGCACAUGGUGGAGCAGCCCCACAAGUGUUCCGAGUGUGGGAACAGCUUUGAUGACAGCUCCGACCUCGCUUCCCACCAGCUGGAGAAGUGCUGCAAGUGUCCCGACAGUGGGAUAAAACUCGGUGAUAGCACCAAGCUCCGACAGCAGAGAUCGGUUCACAAAUCCGAGAAAUUCUAUCUCUGCUCUGACUGCGGGAAGUGCUUCAGUCGCAGCUCCAACCUCAAACAGCACAAGAAGCUCCACACUGGGGAGAGACCCCACAAAUGCCCUGAGUGCGGGCUGAGCUUCAGCAACACCUCACACCUGGUUGUUCACUACCGGAUCCACACCGGGGAGAGACCCUACAGGUGCCAUGAGUGCGGGAAGGGCUUUACCAUGAGCACUAAAUGCCUGAAGCACGAGAGGACCCACACAGGAGAAACUCCCUACAGGUGCUCCAAGUGUGGGAAUUGCUACAGGACCAAGAUUUCCCUGAUGUGCCACAUGAGGAUGCACAUGCAUUAAGAUGCAAGAGGAGCAGAUUGUGCCCUGCAAGGAUAAUUUGCUAUAAGGACAAGCUUUGGGUGACGCUCCAGCACCAUUUGGGACAGGGUUCUUCUUCCCCAAGAUUCCCAGAAGAAGAGAAAUGGGACCGAAGGCAAAGCUCAGGGAGUCCCCCUCGGACAGCAUCCUCCCUGCUGCGUCGCCUCUUGUUUGCAUCAGGUCUCUGUGGCUCCCGAAGCCUUUGCAGGGCUGGGAGACCUGCAGGGUGAUCAGCACGCUGGAAAUCUUUAUCAAAGCUGUCCUCCUGGCAACAGUGAUGCUAUUCCCCAGGGAUGCUGGCAGUCACGCCAGUCCUCCCACGUGAAACAGAGGAGGCAGGGACGCCUGGUGAGACAGCUGCAGCAGAAGUAUCACAUUCAUUGUCUGAUCAAGCCGCCCUUGUUGGGCAUUUCUGGGCCAAAAAAAAAAAAGAUCGUAAGUCAGAUUCUCCUCCCCCCCUUAUUUUCAGUCUGGGCUUAAUGCUCAUGAGCAGCACUCAAGCAUUCAGUGAUGGAGGGGUUGUUGAAAUCCCAGGCAGUGUGGGGGAUUUUCUUGCUCCAUGGAGGGAGGGGAAUGCUGUUUCUGUACCCUCUUGGCAUCAAGCAAAGGGUCGAAUGUUCUUCUUUUCACUAUUGUUUUAUGUUUAGAUUUUUUUUUUCACUUAAUAAAAUCCUGAUGGGUUUCUGUUAUGGUUUGACCCGGCCGGCAGCUAAACACCACACAGCCAUUUGCUCACCCUCCCCUCUCCCUCUCUGGGAUGGGGGAGAGAAAUGGGAAAGUGAAGCCCAUGAGCUGGGAUAAAGACAGUUUAAUAAGACAGGAAAAUAAUAAUAACAACAAUAAUAAUAACAAUAAUGAUGAGAAUAGUGCUACUAUUAAUAAUGUGUACGAAACAAAUGAUGCACAAUGCAAUUGCUCACCACCCGCUGACAGAUGCUCAGUCUAACCCCGAGCAACCCAGCCCCCCACCUUGGCUAGCCACCCCUAUAUAUUGUUUGAUGUCAGAUGGUAUAGAAUGCCCCGUUGGCCAGUUUGGGUCAGCUGUGCUGGAUCUGUCCCCUACCAGCUCUUACUGCACCCCCAGCCUGCCCGUUGGCAGGACAGAGUGAAAAGCUGAAACAUCCUUGACUUUGUGUAAGCACUGCUCUUAAAAUUAAAACACCAGCAUGUUAUCAGCACUCUUCUCAUCCUAAUCCAAAACAUAGCACCCUACCAGCUGCUAGGAGGAAAAUUAACUGUCCUAACUGAAACCAGAACAGUUUCCAUGUGAAGUGUGGGCAGCAUGGGCUCUGCAUGGGGAUGGAGCUGGACUGCUCUGACCCUUUUUUGGGGUGUAGAGGGGAGGAGAUGCAGCCUCUGGAGUUGAGGAAUUGCUUGGGGAAGCAGCCCAGGGCUUGGGGUGGGCAACUUCAUGCAAACCCACACUGAUUUCUUACCUGUUUUCCUAAGAAACUGAGCCAAAUCCCCCUUGAAGUGCGACUUUCCAGAAGCACCCUGUCUAAUUUUGGCUGGGAGAUGCUGGGAGAAAAGAUAACGGCCUAAGCAAUAAAUUUGUGUGUAUGUGGGUGAUCCAGCAAGGUCUUUGAGCCUCUUCCCAUCUUUUCGCCCUGUAAGGGUUUUGUUGGAGGUUGCAGCUCCUCCGUCACCCACUUUGUCCUGCCCCUUGGAUGCAUGGGGCUGCAUGGCCAAACCUUCCCUUGGGGUUUUAGCAGGGUUGCAUGCAUAUCGUGGUUGUGGGGUUCUUGCAGGUAUGGGGAGAAUGAGCAAGAAGGAAAAAGAGAAAUCCUGAGAAGGUCCAGGAGAAGGUGGGACAAGGCUUGGAGGGGUGAUAUGGGGUGAUGGAGAGGAGCUGGGGCAUGGUGGAGCCUUGGAGAACCAUAACAGGGAAAAGGGGAAGGGCCUGGGAGACAGGACCCACCAAGGGGGAAGCCCAGGCAGCAUUAGGGAAACUGAGCCCCAGCCACUAGUUUUCUCCCAGAAAAAGGUUUAUGUAUAUGCUCACUGUGGGCCCUCAUUCAACUGCAGGAGACACUGGACCUGAAACCAGCACUUGCACAUGGGUCAAUGGCCCUACAAAUGCCCUGAGUGCAGGAAGGGUUUCAGCAUGAGCUCCUGUUGCAUCGUGCAUCAGUGAGUCUGUAGAGGGAAAGAGGCUGAGAAGCUGAAAUUUCUAUUGCAGGACACGCAGCAGAACAACUUUGAGAACACAGCCUCACCAGCCAAAUAUUUGCUUGGACAGAGCUUCACCCACAGCACCAACCUUUUUAUUCGCUGGUGACUCGACACCAGGGAGAGACCCUACAGCUGCCUUGACUGCAGGAAGAGCUUCUGUAGUAGCUCCGACCUUGUGUGACACCAGAGGACCCUCAGCGGGGAGAGACUCUAUAAAUGUCCUGAAAAUGUGCAUCAUCCAAGUGCAUCACCCACCAGAGGAGCCAUAUGGAAGAAGCUCCCUGCAAGUGCUCAGUGUGCCGGAAGAGCUACAAGGCCAAGGUGUCCCACCAGAAACUGCAUGUGGAGGAGAAAGCGUUGUGCAAGAAUGGGGUCAGCCCAUCUGGAGCUGGUGAGAUCUAAAAGUCCAACCCUAAACCUCUAGCACCUCAUAAGGAAAGGAACCCGCUCUUCCUCAGGUAACAUCUGUGGGAUGUUGUCUGAGUUUCAGCAGAGUUUCAUCUGCUUUUCUUCUUCCUAUAUUUAUAAAGAACAGCUGAAUUCCAUAAAACAUUGGCUAGGGAAGGGGUCAACAGGUAAGAUGUGGAAAAGCACAUUUUUAACUUACUAAGAAUUAAAGCUUUUAAAGAUUUUUUUUCCCUCCUAUUUAAGAAGUGUUCUUUCCUUUUUUUUUUUUUUUUUUUUUUUUUUUACCUUUCACAUUGGUUCCAUGGCAGGUUCAAACAAUUUUGUUCCAUUGCACAGGUUUGAACACCAAAUCCCUGCACUGCUCUGCCCUGGGUUUCUGCACUUCUGCGCUGAGUACCCAGUGCUCCCACAGUGCGUUGAAUAUUCAUGGCGAUUUAUUUCAAGCUGGGUUUAGUCAGAGCGAGGCAAAGUGGGUGGAAAAGCCCUUAUUUUUGGUCUAUGCGUAUAAACCCCAUUCUCUGAUUGGUAUCUUUAGGACAAAGCCUGAGUAGAAAUUCUGAUUUCUCCUAAAAGAGUUUGCUGUGUGCACACCUCAUGAUUUUCCACCUCUUUUUCUUAAGGAAUUACUCAUCAAAAGUCAAUUUGCUGACUGCUAGGGUGUUCAGGAGCAACUGAAACUCAUCUCUAAAAAGAAUAAAAUUGUUUUUUAGUCCCAUUAAA